rnacentral:rRNA from 1 species
UCUUAUGUACAUGCCUACAAUGUUAAUGCACCAGAUCCCAUCGAAACUUCGUAGUUAAGCACGCUUGGGAUAGAGUAGUACUGGGAUAGGUGACCUCUCUGGAAGUCCUAUUGCUUUACAUGAC